rnacentral:rRNA from 1 species
CCAGACUCCUACGGGAGGCAGCAGUGGGGAAUAUUGGGCAAUGGGCGCAAGCCUGACCCAGCAACGCCGCGUGAAGGAAGAAGGCUUUCGGGUUGUAAACUUCUUUUGUCAGGGACGAAGCAAGUGACGGUACCUGACGAAUAAGCCACGACUAACUACGUGCCAGCAGCCGCGGUAAUACGUAGGUGGCAAGCGUUAUCCGGAUUUACUGGGUGUAAAGGGCGUGUAGGCGGGACUGCAAGUCAGAUGUGAAAACCACGGGCUCAACCUGUGGCCUGCAUUUGAAACUGUAGUUCUUGAGUACUGGAGAGGCAGACGGAAUUCCUAGUGUAGCGGUGAAAUGCGUAGAUAUUAGGAGGAACACCAGUGGCGAAGGCGGUCUGCUGGACAGCAACUGACGCUGAGGCGCGAAGGCGUGGGGAGCAAACAGGAUUAGAUACCCUAGUA